rnacentral:rRNA from 1 species
AAUCAACGCUGGCGGCGUGCCUAACACAUGCAAGUCGAACGCGAAAGGGGCUUCGGCCCGUGAGUAGAGUGGCGUCCGGGUGAGUAACGCGUGGGUAAUCUACCCUCGGGUGGGGAAUAACCAAUCGGAAAGAUUGGCUAAUACCGCAUAAUGCAGCGGCUCGACAUCGAGACAGUUGUUAAAGCCUCUUCGCAAGAAGGGGCGCCUGAGGAGGAGCCUGCGUCUGAUAGCUUAGUUGGCGGGGUAACGGCCCACCAAGGCUACGAUCAGUAGCUGGUCUGAGAGGACGG